GGAGAAAGCUUAGUGAGUAAAGCACAGGAUUUGCAAGCAUGAGCUUUGGGUUCAAACCCCAGCUCCA
rnacentral:tRNA from 1 species